UGCAGAAUCCCGUGAACCAUCGAGUCUUUGAACGCAAGUUGCGCCUGAAGCCAUUAGGCUGAGGGCACGUCUGCCUGGGCGUCACGC
rnacentral:rRNA from 1 species